rnacentral:rRNA from 1 species
UGGCGGCGUACUUAACACAUGCAAGUCGAACGAGGAUCAGCUUUGUAGCAAUACAUUGCUGGUCCUAGUGGCGCACGGGUGAGUAACACGUGGGUAACCUGCCCUUGAGUUCGGGAUACCCCCUCGAAAGGGGGGCUAAUACCGGAUACGUUCCUUGGAUCGACAGGUCUGAGGAGGAAAGGUGGCGCAAGCUGCCGCUCUUGGAGGGGCUCGCGGCCUAUCAGCUAGUUGGCGGGGUAACGGCCCACCAAGGCUAUGACGGGUAGCUGGUCUGAGAGGACGACCAGUCACACGGGGACUGAGACACGGCCCCGACUCCUACGGGAGGCAGCAGUGGGGAAUUUUCCGCAAUGGGCGAAAGCCUGACGGAGUGACGCCGCGUGUGGGACGAAGGCCUUCGGGUCGUAAACCACUGUCAGUGGGAAAGAAGGGUGUCGGUGUUAAUACCACCGGCAUUUGACGGUACCUGCAGAGGAAGCCCCGGCCAACUCUGUGCCAGCAGCCGCGGUAAGACAGAGGGGGCAAGCGUUGCUCGGAAUUACUGGGCGUAAAGGGCGCGUAGGCGGGAUGGCAAGUCGGUCGUGAAAUCCUUCGGCUCAACCGAAGAACGUCGAUCGAUACUGCUGUUCUUGAGGGUUGCAGAGGAGACUGGAAUUCCCGGUGUAGCGGUGAAAUGUGUAGAGAUCGGGAGGAACACCGGUGGCGAAGGCGGGUCUCUGGGC